UACAGAGGGUGCGAGCGUUGUCCGGAAUCACUGGGCGUAAAGGGCGCGUAGGCGGCCUGAUAAGUAUGGGGUGAAAUCUUGCGGCUCAACCGCAAGGCUGCCUUCUAAACUGUCAGGCUGGAGCACGGUAGAGGCAGAUGGAAUUCCCGGUGUAGCGGUGGAAUGCGUAGAGAUCGGGAAGAACACCAGUGGCGAAGGCGGUCUGCUGGGCCGUUGCUGACGCUGAGGCGCGACAGCGUGGGGAGCAAACAGG
rnacentral:rRNA from 1 species